rnacentral:rRNA from 1 species
UUCCGGUUGAUCCUGCCGGACCUCACUGCUAUCGGGAUGAGACUAAGCUUUGCAAGUCAAGCGUUCUCGGGCCAAUGCGAGAACGCGGCGUACGGCUCAGUAACACGUGGCUAACUUAACCUUGGGACAGGGACAAUCCCGGGAAACUGGGGCUAAUCCCUGAUAGGUGAAUAUGCCUGGAAUGGUUUUUCGUCCAAAGGAGAUUAAACUAUGCUUUUUAUCUCGCCCAAGGAUAGGGCCGCGCUCGAUCAGGUUGUUGGUGGGGUAACGGCCCACCAAGCCGAUAACCGGUACGGGCCGUGAGAGCGGGAGCCCGGAGAUGGGCACUGAGAUAAGGGCCCAGGCCCUACGGGGCGCAGCAGUUGCGAAAACUCCGCAAUGCGCGAAAGCGUGACGGGGCUACCCCGAGUGCCGUCCGCUGAGGACGGCUUUUCCACGGUGUAAGGAGCCGUGGGAAUAAGGAGAGGGCAAGCCUGGUGUCAGCCGCCGCGGUAAAACCAGCUCUCCGAGUGGUGGGGACGAUUAUUGGGCUUAAAGCGUUCGUAGCCGGCUCAGCAAGUCUUCCGUUAAAUCCAACGAUUCAAUCGUUGGACCGCGGGAGAUACUGUUGGGCUAGGGGGCGGGAGAGGCCGACGGUAUUCUCGGGGUAGGGGUAAAAUCCUAUAAUCCCGGGAGGACCACCAGUGGCGAAGGCGGUCGGCUAGAACGCGCUCGACGGUGAGGGACGAAAGCUGGGGGAGCGAACCGGAUUAGAUACCCGGGUAGUCCCAGCCGUAAACGAUGCAGGCUAGGUGUUGGAGUGACCACGAGUCACUCCAGUGCCGCAGGGAAGCCGUUAAGCCCGCCGCCUGGGUAGUACGGUCGCAAGACUGAAACUUAAAGGAAUUGGCGGGGGAGCAC